ACACAAUUUGCAAACAUAUUUACAUUCCCAAAUUACAGUUAAGAACAUCACCAUUAUUGUAUUACGCAUGCACGGAAGUGUUUGUUCGACUAGGUGCUACAGGUGAGGGUUGGUGACAGAAAGGGUAUCUAGCCAUAAGAAAUCUGCCUCAUCAAAUUCCGUUUGACUCAUGCCAAGCAUAGAAAAGAGGACAUUAAAAUGAGUCUAGCAGAAAUUGCACCAAUAAUGAUUACUUUCCAACUUAAAAAUAAAUUCUUCACCAGAAACCCCAAAUGUACCCCUAGAAUUCUAACAUUUCUCUCAGGUUAGGAAUUGUUGACCUAAACAUAUAUCAACAUGGUUGUAGUAAGACUUGAACCCACAACCUGUUAAUUAACAAUCUAUAUGUGUUAUAUAGAGACUUCUGGUAUCAGUAUAAGACUAGAAAUUUGUGAGUGCUAUAAUUAAUUGUAUUAACCUCAUUAUACAGCUGAUAUUUAUUUUGCUAACCCAGAAGGCAAAGUCAACUUUAUAAAAGGAUACCAGGUAUUUAGUCUAGCACUCUACUGUUUGUGCCAAUCCACAAGCCUCUGUGAUUGUAGAAUAGAAAACAAUGUUUCCAGUAACCUGAAGGUAUAAAAAGCUGGUGUUUUUAAGACCCAAUAUAAAAAGACAGGGUGGAUGUAAAUGCUAGAUGUCAUUCCAUCAAUCAUACUAUACACUUAGACAAGCAAUCUGUCAACAGACAAGUCUGUAGUUUUCUUUAAAUGAUGCUACUGGUCUUACAUCCCCAGCUAGAAGUAGCAACUAGAUCUCCCUCAAUCACAGUGUACUGGCUUAAAUAAAGAACGAUACAAUGAACAGAAUAUCAAAAUAUCAUUAUCCAACAGAUGGUUUCCCUAAUGUUCUGGUGAAGGUGAGGAAAGUACCCAUUUAUAGUUGGUCCCAGUCCCCAUCCACCCUGUCAUAAGUUGAACACCUCUGAUGAUAGCUUUGUUCAAUCAGAACUGACUUUGGGUGGAGUAAACAACAUGUAGAACCCAUCAACUGAGGACUUAAAACAUUCUAAAUGCCAUAAAUUAAUGAUAGAUCCAUUGGAAAGCUAAAACAAACUAGAAUGUUGUUCACAAAAAUACAUUAUAUAAACUAUAAAAACUCCAAAUGAUUUAAUCUGGUAUUUUACCUCUACUACUACUACUACUAUUAUCACCACCACCACCACCUCCCAGGGCCAUUUUAGCAGCAUUAAAAACUCCUUUGCAAAUCAGUGCACUGGGCCCUAUAAUAUGUAUUUAUUGAAAGCUACAACAUAUAUAGAUUAAAAUUCCCCCUAGACCUGUGAGGCUACUAGGCAACUACUCAGUAUACUCAUGCCUGGAGAUAGCACUACUGCCACUACCCCAUCUGCUACUACUUUUAGCAAUAAAUAUUUUUUAGUCUGAAAUAUUAAAAGGUUUCUUGUUGACUGUCAACAACAAUUAUUUUUUUUUGCUCUGAAGAAAUUUAAUUUAUUAAUUAAUUAAAUAAAAUCAAAGAUAAAUCAAAGUAAAUUCAGUAUCACAAAGGAUGUUGUUCAUCUUAAUUCUUUUGAAACCAACCCACCCAAGGCUAUCACCUCUGGCUUCAUAGUACAAUGCACUAAUCUUUAAAGGUUUCAUAUGAGAAUUAAAAAAGUUUUCUGUUAUAAUUUUAUGUAAGAAUUUUAAUUUUAGUUUCAUUACAAAUACUAACUUAAUAAUUGUUUCUGAUAAAGAUACAGGACCAGAAAGUUAUGGGAGAGAGGGCUAGAUGAUCACCCUCCCUCCCACCCAGUAUUUUUACUGGUACUUUAUUUUAUUGACUGUGGGAGGAUGAAAGGCAUAAAUGACAUUCGCAACAUUUGAACUCAGAACAUAAAAUGCCACAACUAAAUGCUGCAAAUCAUUUUGUCCAAUACCCAAACAAUUCUGCCAACCUAUCACCCUGAUGUAAAAGUAAAUGAUAUUUAGUCUGAUGAUCUACUGACAUGAUGGCAAUGUUUAAUAGUUCAUUAAGCAUUUAAUUAUUUUGAAAAUUAAAUUAAGCCAUGGAUAGUUUAUGUUGUGAGAAAUAUGGCCACAAAAGGUUUAAUCAAAAUAUGACAUUGUAAUUUCUUUCCUGUCAUAUUGUUGCUUUGUCCCAGGUGAGGUUUGAUCAAGCAGACCUAUGAACUAUCAAAGACAUUCCAGUUGUGACCAUCUCAUCUUGUUUAUAUAUCCAAGACUACACUGUCCAAUGUAUUAUUACCUUUCAUUCUUCUGGAGGUCUAACUUCAUUUAUAAUAUUUUUUAAGAUGGUAAGGUAUGGUCUGAAAGAUAUAUGGCUCCCUAGAUUGGUAGUUAGCUCCAAGUUAGCCCAGAUUGAACAGACCAUGAUAAAAGACAUUCCAGUCCUUGUUUAUUUAUGUUUGUUGGCUAACAUAAAAUAUCUGGGAUUACAUUAUCCAGUGAGUGAGAGCUUCUAUGUGGUGACUCAAUCUGCUUGACAUAACAGCUAAAUAUCUCUCACCUCUCAUCCUGCCAUGAUUUUCUUGUAGAUGUUAAUACAUAGAUGUUUAAACUGGGCAUUAACCUUAUUGAUGUCCCCAGUUCAGGAGGACCAACAUUUAAAGAUGCAACCCUUUCUCUCUAGACUCACCACUAGAAAAAUUACUUUCUAAGACAUUAAAAGACAUUCGAUUUUAGUUGCCUUUCUUUUAUAUUUUUGUUUAACUGUAGAAGAAAAUGGAAUGUUCUUAGCUUUUGAAGAACUUUAUAGACUGAAAUAAAACUGAGUGUGAUUGUUGUAACUAUGUGAAAAUUGAACUUUUGGUUUGGGCAAGGUGAGAGAGAGUUCCAGAGAAGUUCAAGAUGGAAGAAAGUGGGAUUAAGUAAAAAUGUUGGCAUGAAAGAUAGUCAAGAAGAUGUCAGACACAGUGAUAUAAAUUUAUUCUUUGGUGGCAUUGCGCUAAUUAUUAUUAUGAUUAUUAUCAAUAUUAUUAUCAUUAAUGAUUGACAAAUGAUCAAAAUAAAAUAUUUUAAAAUUUUUUCCAAGAAUUAUAAUGCAAUGUCCCAGAAUGACCAUAGCUGUGAUGACUUAACUGACAAAAUGAACAAAGAUUACAUAAUAAUUUUGCUAUUUACUUACUGCAAAAUUUUUUUUUUUCUUUUUGAUCUUUUUAUUUUUCAUUCCUGACAAUUUGGGAUAUCCUUUGAAAAAUAAAAGAUUAAAAUCAUGGCAAAAAUAUUUCCAAACUAUUUAUUUUUAAUUUUUUGCAAUUCUGAAGAAGAAAAUUAUUUUGCAUGGAUUGUGGUUAUAUUGCAACAGGCAAAGACAAAAUAAAAAAAAAA